AUUGAACGCUGGCGGCAUGCCUUACACAUGCAAGUCGAACGGCAGCACGGGAGCAAUCCUGGUGGCGAGUGGCGAACGGGUGAGUAAUAUAUCGGAACGUGCCCAGUCGUGGGGAUAACGUAGCGAAAGCUACGCUAAUACCGCAUACGAUCUACGGAUGAAAGCGGGGGGAUCGGCAAGACCUCGCGCGAUUGGAGCGGCCGAUAUCAGAUUAGGUAGUUGGUGAGGUAAAGGCUCACCAAGCCGACGAUCUGUAGCUGGUCUGAGAGGACGACCAGCCACACUGGGACUGAGACACGGCCCAGACUCCUACGGAGGCAGCAGUGGGGAACUUUGGACAAUGGGCGCAAGCCUGAUCCAGCAAUGCCGCGUGCAGGAUGAAGG
rnacentral:rRNA from 1 species